CCUACGGGUGGCAGCAGUGAGGAAUAUUGGUCAAUGGACGAGAGUCUGAACCAGCCAAGUAGCGUGAAGGACGACUGCCCUAUGGGUUGUAAACUUCUUUUAUAUGGGAAUAAAAUGUUCCACGUGUGGGAUUUUGUAUGUACCAUAUGAAUAAGGAUCGGCUAACUCCGUGCCAGCAGCCGCGGUAAUACGGAGGAUCCGAGAGUUAUCCGGAUUUAUUGGGUUUAAAGGGAGCGUAGGUGGAUUGUUAAGUCAGUUGUGAAAGUUUGCGGCUCAACCGUAAAAUUGCAGUUGAAACUGGCAGUCUUGAGUACAGUAGAGGUGGGCGGAAUGCGUGGUGUAGCGGUGAAAUGCUUAGAUAUCACGAAGAACUCCGAUUGCGAAGGCAGUUCACUGGACUGCAACUGACACUGAGGCUCGAAAGUGUGGGUAUCAAACAGGAUUAGAUACCCGGGUAGUC
rnacentral:rRNA from 1 species